UACAGAGGUCUCAAGCGUUGUUCGGAUUCAUUGGGCGUAAAGGGUGUGUAGGUGGCGCCGUAAGUCGGGUGUGAAGUUUCGGAGCUUAACUCCGAAACUGCAUUCGAUACUGCGGUGCUUGAGGACUGGAGAGGAGACUGGAAUUCAUGGUGUAGCAGUGAAAUGCGUAGAGAUCAUGAGGAAGACCAGUGGCGAAGGCGGGUCUCUGGACAGUUCCUGACACUGAGACACGAAGGCCAGGGGAGCAAACGGG
rnacentral:rRNA from 1 species